rnacentral:rRNA from 1 species
CCUACGGGAGGCAGCAGUGGGGAAUAUUGGACAAUGGGGGCAACCCUGAUCCAGCCAUGCCGCGUGUGUGAAGAAGGCCCUCGGGUUGUAAAGCACUUUCAGUGAGGAAGAACGCCUGGUGGUUAAUACCCAUCAGGAAAGACAUCACUCACAGAAGAAGCACCGGCUAACUCCGUGCCAACAGCCGCGGUAAUACGGAGGGUGCGAGCGUUAAUCGGAAUUACUGGGCGUAAAGCGCGCGUAGGUGGCUUGAUAAGCCGGUUGUGAAAGCCCCGGGCUCAACCUGGGAACGGCAUCCGGAACUGUCAAGCUAGAGUGCAGGAGAGGAAGGUAGAAUUCCCGGUGUAGCGGUGAAAUGCGUAGAGAUCGGGAGGAAUACCAGUGGCGAAGGCGGCCUUCUGGACUGACACUGACACUGAGGUGCGAAAGCGUGGGUAGCAAACAGGAUUAGAUACCCGAGUAUC